GAGUGGCGAACGGGUGAGUAACACGUGGGAAACCUACCUCUUAGCAGGGGAUAACAUUUGGAAACAGAUGCUAAUACCGUAUAACAAUGACAACCGCAUGGUUGUUAUUUAAAAGAUGGUUCUGCUAUCACUAAGAGAUGGUCCCGCGGUGCAUUAGCUAGUUGGUAAGGUAAUGGCUUACCAAGGCGAUGAUGCAUAGCCGAGUUGAGAGACUGAUCGGCCACAAUGGGACUGAGACACGGCCCAUACUCCUACGGGAGGCAGCAGUAGGGAAUCUUCCACAAUGGGCGAAAGCCUGAUGGAGCAACGCCGCGUGUGUGAUGAAGGGUUUCGGCUCGUAAAACACUGUUGUAAGAGAAGAAUGACAUUGAGAGUAACUGUUCAAUGUGUGACGGUAUCUUACCAGAAAGGAACGGCUAAAUACGUGCCAGCAGCCGCGGUAAUACGUAUGUUCCAAGCGUUAUCCGGAUUUAUUGGGCGUAAAGCGAGCGCAGACGGUUAUUUAAGUCUGAAGUGAAAGCCCUCAGCUCAACUGAGGAAUUGCUUUGGAAACUGGAUGACUUGAGUGCAGUAGAGGAAAGUGGAACUCCAUGUGUAGCGGUGAAAUGCGUAGAUAUAUGGAAGAACACCAGUGGCGAAGGCGGCUUUCUGGACUGUAACUGACGUUGAGGCUCGAAAGUGUGGGUAGCAAACAGGAUUAGAUACCCUGGUAGUCCACACCGUAAACGAUGAGUGCUAGGUGUUUGAGGGUUUCCGCCCUUAAGUGCCGCAGCUAACGCAUUAAGCACUCCGCCUGGGGAGUACGACCGCAAGGUUGAAACUCAAAGGAAUUGACGGGGACCCGCACAAGCGGUGGAGCAUGUGGUUUAAUUCGAAGCAACGCGAAGAACCUUACCAGGUCUUGACAUCCCUUGACAACUCCAGAGAUGGAGCGUUCCCUUCGGGGACAAGGUGACAGGUGGUGCAUGGUUGUCGUCAGCUCGUGUCGUGAGAUGUUGGGUUAAGUCCCGCAACGAGCGCAACCCUUAUUACUAGUUGCCAGCAUUCAGUUGGGCACUCUAGUGAGACUGCCGGUGACAAACCGGAGGAAGGUGGGGAUGACGUCAAAUCAUCAUGCCCCUUAUGACCUGGGCUACACACGUGCUACAAUGGCGUAUACAACGAGUUGCCAACCCGCGAGGGUGAGCUAAUCUCUUAAAGUACGUCUCAGUUCGGAUUGUAGGCUGCAACUCGCCUACAUGAAGUCGGAAUCGCUAGUAAUCGCGGAUCAGCACGCCGCGGUGAAUACGUUCCCGGGUCUUGUACACACCGCCCGUCACACCAUGAGAGUUUGUAACACCCAAAGCCGGUGGGGUAACCUUCGGGAGCCAGCCGUCUA
rnacentral:rRNA from 1 species